rnacentral:rRNA from 1 species
GGGCCCGCACAAGCGGUGGAGCAUGUGGUUUAAAUUCGAUGCAACGCGAAGAACCUUACCAGGGCUUGACAUACUACAAAUUCUUUGGAAACAGAGAAGUGCCUUCGGGAAUGUAGAUACAGGUGGUGCAUGGCUGUCGUCAGCUCGUGUCGUGAGAUGUUGGGUUAAGUCCCGCAACGAGCGCAACCCUUAUUUUUAGUUACCAAUUCGUUGGGUUCUCUAGAAAGACUGCCGGUGACAAACCGGAGGAAGGUGAGGAUGACGUCAAGUCAGCAUGCCCCUUAUGUCCUGGGCUACACACGUGCUACAAUGGUUAAGACAAAGAGUCGCUAGCUUGCAAGAGUCAGCUAAUCUCAUAAACUUAGCCUAAGUUCAGAUUGUAGGCUGCAACUCGCCUACAUGAAGUUGGAAUC